rnacentral:rRNA from 1 species
AGAGUUUGAUCCUGGCUCAGGAUGAACGCCGGCGGUGUGCCUAAUACAUGCAAGUCGUACGCACUGGCCCAACUGAUUGAUGGUGCUUGCACCUGAUUGACGUUGGAUCACCAGUGAGUGGCGGACGGGUGAGUAACACGUAGGUAACCUGCCCCGGAGCGGGGGAUAACAUUUGGAAACAGAUGCUAAUACCGCAUAACAACAAAAGCCGCAUGGCUUUUGUUUGAAAGAUGGCUUUGGCUAUCACUCUGGGAUGGACCUGCGGUGCAUUAGCUAGUUGGUAAGGUAACGGCUUACCAAGGCGAUGAUGCAUAGCCGAGUUGAGAGACUGAUCGGCCACAAUGGAACUGAGACACGGUCCGUACUCCUACGGGAGGCAGCAGUAGGGAAUCUUCCACAAUGGGCGCAAGCCUGGUGGAGCAACACCGCGUGAGUGAAGAAGGGUUUCGGCUCGUAAAGCUCUGUUGUUGGAGAAGAACGUGCGUGAGAGUAACUGUUUACGCAGUGACGGUAUCCAACCAGAAAGUCACGGCUAACUACGUGCCAGCAGCCGCGGUAAUACGUAGGUGGCAAGCGUUAUCCGGAUUUAUUGGGCGUAAAGCGAGCGCAGGCGGUUGCUUAGGUCUGAUGUGAAAGCCUUUUGGCUUAACCGAAGAAGUGCAUUCGGAAAACCGGGCGACUUGAGUGCAAAAGAAGGACCGUGGAAACUCCAUGUGUAACGGUGGAAAUGCGUGGAUAUAGGGAGAAACACCCAGUGGGGAAGGCGGCUGUCUGGUCUGCAACUGACCCCUCAGGGCACGAAAGUGUGGGUAUCGAACAGGAUUAGAUACCCUGGUAGUCCACACAGUAAACGAUGAGCGCUAGGUGUCCGGGUCGCAUGAGACUUGGGUGCCCGAGCGAAAGCGUUAAGCGCUCCACCUGGGGAGUACGCCAGCAACGGUGAAACUCAAAGGAAUUGACGGGGGCCCGCACAAGCGGAGGAACAUGUGGUUUAAUUCGAUGAUACGCGAGGAACCUUACCCGGGCUCAAACGACUCAGGAAUAUAUUGGAAACGAUGUAGCCAGCAAUGGUCUGAGUCGAGGUGCUGCAUGGUUGUCGUCAGCUCGUGCCGUGAGGUGUCGGCUUAAGUGCCAUAACGAGCGCAACCCCUACCGCCAGUUGCCAACGGGUAAAGCCGGGAACUCUGGCGGGACUGCCGGCGCAAGCUGUGAGGAAGGCGGGGAUGACGUCAAAUCAGCACGGCCCUUACGUCCGGGGCGACACACGUGUUACAAUGGCAGGUACAGCGGGAAGCCACCUGGUGACAGGGAGCGGAACCCGAAAGCCUGUCUCAGUUCGGAUUGGAGUCUGCAACUCGACUCCAUGAAGCUGGAUUCGCUAGUAAUCGCGCAUCAGCCAUGGCGCGGUGAAUACGUUCCCGGGCCUUGUACACACCGCCCGUCA